GACGUAGGGGGCGAGCGUUGUCCGGAUUUAUUGGGCGUAAAGCGCGCGUAGGCGGUUCGUUAAGUCGGAUGUGAAAAUCCGGGGCUCAACCCCGGACCUGCAUCCGAUACUGGCGGACUGGAGGCAGGCAGGGGAGAUCGGAAUUCCUGGUGUAGCGGUGAAAUGCGUAGAUAUCGGGAGGAACACCAGUAGCGAAGGCGGCACUCUGGGCCGGUACUGACGCUGAGGAGCGAAAGCGUGGGGAG
rnacentral:rRNA from 1 species